rnacentral:other from 1 species
AAUUACCUAAAAGGUUAUAGUUUGUCUUUUAUAAAACCGACUAUGUGAUAUCUUGGGAAUCUAAUUGGAUUGUGGUGUUGAAAGCCCAGCUUGACUGGGAAUCCUAAAGCAAUUCAUGUGAUGCCCACCUGCCGAGAGCGGGCUUUUAUCACUGGCAGACUUCCUUUUAGGUUUUAU